rnacentral:rRNA from 1 species
AUUGAACGCUGGCGGCAUGCUUUACACAUGCAAGUCGAACGGUAACAGGCCUUCGGGUGCUGACGCGUGGCGAACGGGUGAGUAAUGCAUCGGAACGUACCCAGAGGUGGGGGAUAACGCAGCGAAAGCUGUGCUAAUACCGCAUGUGAUCUGAGGAUGAAAGCGGGGGACCGAGCAGCAAUGUUUGGCCUCGCGCCUUUGGAGCGGCCGAUGUCGGAUUUGAUGGUUGGUGGGGUAAAGGCCUACCAGGGCGACGAUCCGUAGCUGGUGUGGGAGGCGGACAGCCGACACUGGGACGGGGACACGGCCAAGACUCCUGCGAGAGGGAGCAGUGGGCAAUGUGGGACAGUGGGCGCAAGCCUGGUCCAGCAAUGCCGCGUGCGAGAAGAAGGCCUUCGGGUUGUAAACCGCUUUUGGCAGGAACGAAACGGUGUCCGCUAAUACCGAGCGCUAAUGACGGUACCUGCAGAAUAAGCACCGGCUAACUACGUG